GGUGACAUCUGUCUGGCAGUAUGCUGGGGACAUGACUUUCACUGCCCUUCCUGAGUGGUUGUAUCAACGAGGGUGCUCAGGUUUUUGCACCCAGAGGUUGCGGAAAUUCUGGGUGCCACAGAGAUCGGCAUGUGGUGCCUCUAGACUUCUCCAUGGAAGAUUUCUUUUUCAGAGAUCUGACAAAGUCUCGGUCUGACAGCAGAGGGAACCUCAAAUGCCUCACUGUAGCCAGGUAAAAACUGGAUAUCCCUGGACAUGGUUCCGCUCUUGCAGACCAAGACAUUAAGGGUUGAUCAGGAAUUUAAGAAAUUGUUAUAUCAAGAGGAAACAAUCUUCACAUAAUUACCACACAGAAAUUGCUCCUGGAGCCAAAUAAACUGGAGAAAAGACUAUUUGAAACAGGCUACCCAAGUUCAGAUACAUGCUCAAUGACUAAAGAAGAGCUGACACUCAGGGAGCCACAGACUCUUAAGUGCACUUUGACCAUCUGCUAAUGUAUUCUGCCACAAUCUUCUCAGCCUCAUUUGACAGAGGAGGAAAUGAAGGCCUACAGAGAUUGAUUAAUUUGAUGAAGUCAUAUUUCAAGCAAGGGGCAGGGCCUAAAACUGAAACCUCGCAGUCUGACUCUGGAGCCUCUGUGCCUAACCCCCAAUUUCACUGCCUGAAAUGUUCAUGCAUUGGAUGGCUGGAUGGCUACCUCUGAAGAAUCAAAAUAAAAUAAUGCAAAACAACAAAAAUCAGCCAGUGGAGGAAAGGAAAUUAUGGUCCCUUUCUGGGUUAUGAAGAGAGAUGAAAAGGUGAAGAAGUGUUAAAAUGACUAAGCAAAAACUAAGCAAAAAAUAUGAGGCCUGUUUCCUGCAAGGAUUGGUUUCCUUAUCUGUGAGGCCUGAUGGGUGUCAUUCAGCUGCUGCCCCGCCCGUGUUCCUUGUGGAGUGGCAGCUGAGAGAACAUGCAUUUUGGGUGCAGAAGGUCAACAGAAGGGAAAUUGUUAAACAAACAAAAAACCCUCAUGUGAGCAUGGGACAUGUGUGGUCUUCUGCUCUAUGGUAAAUUCAUAUUUGCUAUAUUCCCUCUGCCUAUCAAAAUUUUGAAAUAGUGAUUGAAAAGAAGAAGAUGAAGGAGGAGGAGGAGAAGGCAAAAGAGGAAGAGGAGAAA